rnacentral:tRNA from 1 species
ACAUUAGCUCAGUUGGUAGAGCACUUGACUUUUAAUCAAGGUGUCGGGAGUUCGAGUCUCCUAUG